rnacentral:rRNA from 2 species
AACGUAGGAGACAAACGUUAUCCGGAGUUACUGGGCGUAAAGGGCGUGCAGGCGGUCUGUUAAGUCUGGCGUGAAAGCUCUCGGCUAAACCGGGAGAGGUCGUUGGAUACUGACGGACUAGAGGACGGUAGAGGCGUGUGGAAUUCCGGGUGUAGUGGUGAAAUGCGUAGAGAUCCGGAGGAACACCAGUGGCGAAGGCGACACGCUGGGCCGUACCUGACGCUAAGACGCGACAGCAUGGGGAGCGAACGGG